AUUGAACGCUGGCGGCAUGCCUUACACAUGCAAGUCGAACGGCAGCACGGGUGCUUGCACCUGGUGGCGAGUGGCGAACGGGUGAGUAAUACAUCGGAACGUACCUUAUCGUGGGGGAUAACGCAGCGAAAGCUGUGCUAAUACCGCAUACGCCCUGAGGGGGAAAGCGGGGGAUCGAAAGACCUCGCGCGAUUAGAGCGGCCGAUGCCUGAUUAGCUUGUUGGGGGGUUAAAAGACCACCAAGGCGACGAUCAGUAGCUGGUCUGAGAGGACGAUCAGCCACACUGGGACUGAGACACGGCCCAGACUCCUACGGGAGGCAGCAGUGGGGAAUUUUGGACAAUGGGGGCAACCCUAAUCCAGCAAUGCCGCGUGAGUGAAGAAGGCCUUCGGGUUGUAAAGCUCUUUUGUCAGGGAAGAAACACCGGCUCUAACACAGUCCGGGAAUGACGGUACCUGAAGAAUAAGCACCGGCUAACUACGUGCCAGCCGCCGCGGUAA
rnacentral:rRNA from 1 species